rnacentral:lncRNA from 1 species
CCGAGAAGAUAGAGGGAGUCUCGAGCAUGGAUGUUGAAGUUGGUGAAGCCCCUUCUCCGACGCACAAUGUUUCCUCAGUGGGCGACCUAGAUGACUUUUAGAUUGUGAUGGUAGUAAGUUGGUCUUUUGUUGUACUCCUCGGCAACCUAUAGUUUUGGCCAGUGAUGUAAUAGGUUAGCUUGGGUUGAGUAUUCAGAUGCUGAAAAACUGAAUUCAUGUCUAGGUUUGCCAUGGCUACUGACCGGUUGCAAUGUCUGAAAUAGGUGACAAAAUUUCAGUAGCUGUUCUCCUCAGUUUUACCCCUAUCUCCACCCGUGUUUGAUCCAAGGAUUGAAUACCAAAGCUGUGCGGAAACAAGUGUUCUAACUGCUCGUAGGAUUUCAGCUCCUUUGGAUCUAUCAAACUCGUGUUAGAACCACAACACCGCAGCUCAGCUUGCUGGAAAUCAACCCAAGACUGAAAUGGUGACCCCCGCCGACUUGGCCGACCCCAGGUCACAAGGUCGGACGCGCCUGACCCCUCACGGCAGAGCUUCGCCUCGCCCAACCCCGGGCGCUACGGGUCGGACGAACCCAACGACAACC